rnacentral:rRNA from 1 species
UACGUAGGGGGCAAGCGUUGUCCGGAAUUAUUGGGCGUAAAGAGCGCGUAGGCGGUCCGGUAAGUCGGCUGUGAAAGUCAAGGGCUCAACCCUUGAAAGCCGGCCGAUACUGCCGGACUAGAGUCCGGAAGAGGCGAGUGGAAUUCCCGGUGUAGCGGUGAAAUGCGCAGAUAUCAGGAGGAACACCGGUGGCGAAGGCGGGACUCUGGGCCGAUACUGACGCUGAGGAGCGAAAGCGUGGGGAGCGAACAGG